GACGAACGCUGGCGGCGUGCUUAACACAUGCAAGUCGAACGGAAAGGCGCUGCUUUUGUGGGGUGCUCGAGUGGCGAACGGGUGAGUAAAACGUGAGUAACCUGCCCCUGACUUUGGGGUAACUUCAGGAAACUGGGGCUAAUACCGGAUAGGAGCUCCUGCUGCACGGUGGGGGUUGGAAAGUUUCGGCGGUUGGGGAUGGACUCGCGGCUUAUCAGCUUGUUGGUGAGGUAGUGGCUUACCAAGGCUUUGACGGGUAGCCGGCCUGGGAGGGUGAACGGGGACAAUGGGACUGAGGUAGGGACCAGAAGCCUACGGGAGGCAGUAGUGGGGAACAUUGCGCAAUGGGGGGGAGCGUGAGAUAGAGGCCUCGCGUGCGGGAUACCGGCCUUCGAGUGAUAAACCGAUUUCGAAGGUGACGAGGAGUGAGUGACGGUAAUGGGUAAGGAAGCAACGGCUAACUACAUG
rnacentral:rRNA from 1 species